UAUAUAAAGGGCAAUGCUCCGAUAGAAGAACAUCUCAAAGUCGAGAGCAGAGAGCGCCUCGUAGCAUCACCAGCCCUGCUUCAGUAGUUCUAUUGUCUCUGUGAAAUCGACCGCGGCGUCGACCAUGAGCUACCCGCCACCGGGCACCGCGUACCCGCCGCCGGGCCAGGAGGCCUACCCGCCUCCAGGGUACGGCGCGCCGCCGCCUGUCGCCGCUAACUACCAGCAGCAAGCCCCGCCGCAGGACUCGCAGGACCGCGGAGGCGACGGCUUCUGGAAAGGAUGUUGUGCUGCUAUUUGCUGCUGCUGCCUGCUCGACAUGUGCUUCUGAUCACAAGUUCCUACUGCCAACACCAGGAAAUCCCACGAUGAUCUACUCACUCAGAGCUGCUCAUAGUUGAUCAUGGUUAUUUCUAUUGUAGUAUUUGUGCUGUCCGGGUGGAGAUUUGUAUGGGCUCGUUGUGCUAGUUAAUUUUGCAUCUGGAUUUUGGCUUCAUUCUGUAUCACGGUAUUGUUAUUGGCAGAGUCUUAGUCUCUUCAGUUUGUUGGUGAUGAAUAACACGUAGCAGUAGCAUGCGAGAAUUCUUGACGACA